AAGGUGGGGAUGACGUCAAGUCCUCAUGGCCCUUAUGGGUAGGGCUUCACACGUCAUACAAUGGUCGGUACAGAGGGUUGCCAAGCCGCGAGGCGGAGCCAAUCCCACAAAGCCGAUCGUAGUCCGGAUUGUUCUCUGCAACUCGAGAGCAUGAAGUCGGAAUCGCUAGUAAUCGCAGGUCAGCAUACUGCGGUGAAUACGUUCCCGGGUCUU
rnacentral:rRNA from 1 species